rnacentral:rRNA from 1 species
UACGUAGGUGACAAGCGUUGUCCGGAUUUACUGGGCGUAAAGAGCGCGCAGGCGGUCGUUCAAGUCGAGUGUGAAAGCCCCCGGCUCAACUGGGGAGGGUCAUUCGAUACUGAUCGACUCGAAGGCAGGAGAGGGAAGUGGAAUUCCCGGUGUAGUGGUGAAAUGCGUAGAUAUCGGGAGGAACACCAGUGGCGAAGGCGGACUUCCUGGCCUGUUCUUGACGCUGAGGCGCGAAAGCUAGGGGAGCAAACGGGG